GGCUUAGUAGCUCAGUGGAUAGAGCAGGGGAUUCAUAAGCCCAAGGUCGUAGGUUCAAUUCCUACCUAAGCUA
rfam:Galdieria sulphuraria unplaced genomic scaffold scaf_35, whole genome shotgun sequence.